rnacentral:sRNA from 1 species
ACACAGACCCAGAUGCAGAAGCACCAUCCACAGAGCAUUGAGGAGGCUGUGGCUCUGGUAGAACACUUGCAGAGGGAAUCUGGUCACACAUGGAAUGGGGUUGCAGUCCAUGAGCUGGGAAAGGAGGCAGUGCUCUUGGGAGAAACAGCAGAGGCCUCAAGUUUCGGGCUGAAGCCAACAGAGUCCCAACCAGUGGGCGUAUCCCAAGAUGAAGAAUUUUGGAAUACAUACCAGGGUCUGCAAGAACAGCUCAGCAGGAAUACUCAUAAAGACACUGAGCCUGUGUAUGAGAGGGGUAAGGAGCUUCAUGAUAAUUUCCUUCUCCUGGGAGCUGUGAUAAUAGUUUAUUCACCCAAAAUGUCAUGGGCAUUUUUUGAAUACCCUGCUCUGUGGAUUUGUAAAACCAGCCUUGAUAGCAACUAUGAUGUCCUUCCAGGCAGCAGUAGAAAUGCCAACUGUGGAUGAAAGUGGGAGUUGGCCUAGGGAACAGAAAUGUCUAAACCACAGAACUCUUGGUAAUAACAGUGUGAACUCUGUUCCUUAGACUAGAGGAGAGGAAGGAAAGAAAUGGAGUGGGAAGGCUUGGGGCCACUUCAUCCUUGUAAAAUACAGAAGGAAUUGAGAUCAGAUGGGCUGUUAGUGGCAGAAUGUGAAAACAAUUGUGUACCAGGAAAAACAAUAAAAGACAAAAAACUUCAUCUCCUACCAUA